CCCUUAGAUGUCCUGGGCCGCACGCGCGCUACACUGAUGCAUGCAACGAGUUUAUAACCUUGGCCUGAAAGGUCUGGGUAAUCUUUUGAACGUGCAUCGUGAUAGGGAUAGAUUAUUGCAAUUGUUAAUCUUGAACGAGGAAUUCCUAGUAAACGCGAGUCAGCAGCUCGCAUUGAUUACGUCCCUGCCCUUUGUACACACCGCCCGUCGCACCUACCGAUUGAAUGGUUCGGUGAAGAUCUCGGACUUCGAUAUUUAUUCUUUAUUGAGUUUAUAUUGUGGGAAGUUAUCUAAACCUCAUCAUUUAGAGGAAGGUGAAGUCGUAACA
rnacentral:rRNA from 1 species